rnacentral:rRNA from 1 species
AACGAACGCUGGCGGCAUGCCUAACACAUGCAAGUCGAACGAGACCUUCGGGUCUAGUGGCGCACGGGUGCGUAACGCGUGGGAACCUGCCUUUAGGUUCGGAAUAACUCGGAGAAAUUUGAGCUAAUACCGGAUGAUGUCUUCGGACCAAAGAUUUAUCGCCCUUAGAUGGGCCCGCGUUGGAUUAGCUAGUUGGUGGGGUAAAGGCCUACCAAGGCGACGAUCCAUAGCUGGUCUGAGAGGAUGAUCAGCCACACUGGGACUGAGACACGGCCCAGACUCCUACGGGAGGCAGCAGUGGGGAAUAUUGGACAAUGGGCGAAAGCCUGAUCCAGCAAGGCCGCGUGAGUGAUGAAGGCCUUAGGGUUGUAAAGCUCUUUUACCCGAGAUGAUAAUGACAGUAUCGGGAGAAUAAGCUCCGGCUAACUCCGUG